rnacentral:lncRNA from 1 species
ACAUGACAGAGAAACAAAUGCCCUUCUAUUGUUUACAUUUGAGGUUUACAGAGAGAGCAAUCAGCAGAUUUUCUGUAAGAUCCAUCUAUCUGUCACUGUGUUUUAUUGGAUAUGGCUGCAGCUGAAUCGAAAACAGGAAAGAGGAAAGAAGUGAAAGUGACAAAGAUGGUUAUAAAAAUAGAAAAAAAAGAGUGAAAUCUCUGGAGUGUAAGAGUGGACCAAAUACAGCUGUGGGCAAUAUUCCCUCUGUUUUUAUAAAGUGUGUGCAUGUGCCUUGCCACAUAAGGAACGAAUUAUGAAGACUAAGCAUGUUUCAUGUUUUUGGCAUUGUAUUCAGAUGGAAUUCAUGAUGAAGUUUAUCAGGCAUGUUUCAUCCACAUUAUGCACAAUCAGAACUCUGCCACAUGGUAAUUAGGUCAGCACCACCAUCCCCCACAACCACUUCAUAUAUAUACAAAAUGCAGCAUCAAUCAGUUCUGCUUGUCCACAGAUGAAAGCCUAACUCAGUAUGCCACUUAAUAACCCCUAUAAUCUGGUCCCAACUUUUUUCCAUAACCUAAUUUCCCUUGCUCCUACCUGCCCCACGGAGAAUGAUCACUGCACAAGUGAUUGCCAUUUUCUCUUUCACGACCCUGUUACCUUACAUUGACAGUAUCGCAACACCCCAAUUUCACCAUGCUUUGUUUUUCUAAGUCUUGCCUUUCUUUAAAGAUUUUCCUUACCAUUUGAACAAUGUCGCCCCCACUGCAACAACAUUAAUUCUUUCUUAGAUUUAGAUAUCACCACAGAAAACUGGCGUGAAGACAUAAAAUGGUGUUAAACAGGAACCAGUAACAUAAGCGCAGCCAGUUACUUAGUGGCUUCAAAAAAGUGCAAUUAUUUUAUCUUCUUCCCUGGUUUCUGUGGGUGAGGAAUUAGAUUGGACGGUUGUAACUCAAAGUCUACCUGUGGUGGAUUUGGAACAGCUGGGGGCUGGACUACCUAGGGCCUGGCCCAGCAUCCCUUCAUCUCUCUCUCUCUCUCUCUGUGUGUAGUCUCAGGGUCUCUCCAUUUUCUCUAUCUGAGCUAGUUUGGACUUCUUCAGAGAAUGACUUCUUAAUUAGCAGCCUAAAGCUUAAAGGGUAAGCAUUCCAGCAAGCAAGGCAGAAUGGAAAUUGCCUUUUGUGAUUUAGCUUCAGAAUUUACAGAGGACAUUUCCACCAUAGUCCGUUGUUUCAAACAGUCAUCAAAGCCUGCCCGAUGCCAAGGGGAAGCAACAUAGAUCCCAGCUUUUGUGAGAAAGGAUGUCAAAGUCAUAUUUAUAGAAAAGGUUUGUGAGAUAGGAAAUGUUUCUGUGAUCAUCUUUAAAAAACACAAUCUGCCAAAGGAGCAGAUUAAUUUUUUUUAAGAGAAAAGAAGGAAUUUUGGGAUUCUGCCAUUUCCCUGCCAAAGAACAAUGUUCCAGAUACCUAUUCAACUAUUGUGGUUUUGCUUAGUUUUUAUAGGCAUGCUUGUCCAAAGGCAUGUUUUAAUUAUUUUUUAUUUGCAUGUUGUACAUUAUUUUUUCCAAAAUGCUAAAGUACACUUAGUUAUGAAGAGGGGCGAGUUUAUUUCUACACUUUAUACAUAUUCACUGUUAUAUAUCUUAUAUAUAACAAGUUUUUGUCCCAGAGAUGCUAGGAUAAUGUAAUGCAACCCAAAAGUGAUUAAAGCCCAAAGCAGCCUUCUUUAAGCUCAAGUAAAUAUGAAAGCAAAGGUGAUAUGGUCAUUGAAAACAUGGUUCUAGACUCUACCAUUUUUAUCACUGUCUAGUUCAUUGUCUGCAGAUAAAUGUGACCUAAAACAUAAUGUUCCCUAGUGGAAUACUUCACAGAUUUUUUUUUCUUUUUUCUUUGUAAUAGAGAAAGAGUCUCACUGUGUUGCCAGUGUUGGUCUGAAACUCCUAUCUUCAAGUGAUCCUCCUGCCUCGGCCUCCCAAAGCUCUGGAAUUACAGGCAUGAGCCACCAUACCCAGCCCUUGACAGAGUUUAACGAGUGACACUGUCUUGAAUCUGAUGUUGGUGUUCUGAAGUACAAUCCUUCAUAACCCUGCCAAAGAUAUGACAAUGUAGCCAGACCCAGGCUAGGUGCUGCCAUCAAAAAACAUGGUCCUAAAAUCAAAGUGUACUUUCCAAAUAACUCAUGUUAGAAACCUGGACAUCUCUAACGCUAUGAAGAGGAUACGUAGUCCAUAGCUGGAUUUCUGAGCAAUUCUUCUUCCCUUUUUUUCAUUCCCUUUGUUUAUACCCCAGAAUUCUCUCCUCUAAACUUUGAAAAAUCCUCCUGAUUUGAAACGAAUCUAUUUUAUCUGCCUACCACAUCUUUUUUCCUCCAAAUUGGGUAGCAUAACACUCAAGUAAUGGCAUACUCCUGCCCCACAGGCUAAAAAUACCCAAGUAGACAAAGAAUGUUCUUCAGUAUGAACAUCUGAUGUUAAUAUUUUUUUCCCAAAUCAUUCUUUCAAGGGCAAGUGUGAGUGAAAAGCACUCACAUGGUGAGUGGUGCCAUGUCACCAUGGCAUUUCCUUUAUCAAGCAAGUCCAUCAUUCAAAUCCUUAAUGGGUAAUUGUCAGGGGUGGGAGAAGAACUUCUCAUACUUUAGUAUGCAUAUGAAUAUUACCUGGGAAUCUCGUUAUAUUCUGAUCCCAUGGGUGUGGGCUGGGCCCCAGAGUCAGCAUUCCUAACCAGCCCCCAGUUGGUGUCGAGGCUGCUGGUCUGGGAACUAUACUUGGGGUAGCACCAACCUAUUUUUAAACUAUUAUUUUUAGUUAUUUAAAUUCUAAAUUGCUUGUUUUGAACUUUUUCCAGUUUACUGAAGAUUUUGGAAGGUAUGAGAUAAAUAAGAAAAGAUACAAAGGAAAAUCCAGUGAUCUCAGCCAGCAAAAGCAAUAGGAGUGGAAAGGCCAUAGGCCAGUGCUGGGUUGGUGAGUUGCAGGUGGAUCUGAGAAGGCAGCAGACGCAAUGUCUCACCCUGAAGUUCCAAACCCGCCACUGCCCUCCCCACCCUACUCUGUCCUCCUUCCCCAUCUGAUUCCUGAACUUCAUGCCUCAGAGACCCUCUGGGUACCAUUACGGGUAAGUUCAGAGGUGAAUUGUUAGUUAAUGACUGAGCAGGGUUGGGAGCAGGGAGCUGAGAACUAGAAACAAACAGAGGCUAAAAGUUUGAAUGAGAUAUGUGCGAGUUUCUCUGGGAGGCAGGGUGCAAGGACAGAGGAAGGAUUGUCAAGAAGGAAAGGAAAAGCACCCACAGUGAAACCUGAAAGAGGCCCAAAACAAAACUCCCCUGAUUUCCUCAUUGCCUCAGGGCUGGGCCCCAGGUACAUUUAUUUCUUUUCUAAUUACCUACACCUGAGUGAACAUAGACAGGUAUUUAUAUCUCAGUGAGCUGUUUAGGUGUGUUUAUUUAGGUUUUAUUUAUAAUCCCAGAUUAGGUAAUUUCCUUUUAAAAAUUAUAGGUGGACUGUGAUGAGAAAGAGCUUUUAUCUGAUUGUUAGUAAGAUCAUAGGCGUAAAGAGAAUUUUGCUUUUGAAAACUUACAAGGGCUAUUGAGUUUUUCAAUUAAACAAUGUGGCCCUUCUAAGGUUACUAAAGAGAAACCCACAUAUUCACAAUCAACCUCUAAGGCUGUUGAGGUUUCUCAGUUCUUUGAACCUCGAACACUCUGUGUUCCUAAGCCACUAGAGGUGGAAACAAAAUAGAGCCGCUUAUCACAUUUCUUCUAUUCCACACCUCAGUAUUGUCAUCGUCUCCACUUGCCCUUCAGCGGAGGAGAUUAAUAGAUUUCAACAGGACCUUUUGUGGGCUCAGAGGAGCUGGCUCUGCACUUAUUUGCCCUCUUUGUGUGGUUGUAAAGUGUUCUGACCAGAUGACUCGGCAUUGCCAGUAAGAACCCAGCCCCAUGCCACAGGGACUCUAUGGCCAGAAGCACUGCUUCCUCUGCCUUGUUUCUUGAGAUCAGUGAAACAGGAAUAUUUUCUUGCGAAACCCUGAUUCAAUAACUGGUGGCUCAGAGCCCACAAUAAAAUCAUGGUAACAGUCUAUAAACAUCAAAACAUUAAUCCUUUCCAAGUAGGAGCUGACGAGAAUAAGCCUAAUUGCAGUAAUGACCUGAAGUAUAGAUGCUGCUCUGCAUAAACUCUCACUCCCUGGUGGGAAUGUUCCCAUGGAACUCUGGGACUGUGCCAUGCACACACCUAACUCUAAUAAUACUAAAUCUAAACAUGGGCAUUCCUGCUGGAUGAGCGGACUGAUAGUCAUUAAAGGCCUAAAAGGUAAAAAAUUAUUACUACUUUAAAUCACUUUCCAAAGACUAAGCAUUUUUUAAAUUGUUAAUGAUGGCCCCAUUCUCUCAUUUAAUUUCAUUUUUAAUUUUUAACUUUAAAAAACACUCCAGUUAGAUACAAAUAUUUUAAUUUUUAUUUAUUAGGGACCAUAUAUUUAUGCAAUAUCCAUGUUUGCUACCAUAGGCACUUGAGCUGUGAUGAUUUCACUUUGGUAACUUGAAAAUGUAUAUAAUAGAUUUUUAAAAUUAAUUUGUAACAGGAAUAAAAAUUACCACAGUGUGAGAAUUCACAAAGCUCCCUCUCCUUCCCCUUUUUCUAUCCUCACUCCACAACUGGCACUAGCUUUUAAAGGGGAUGAAUUUUUGCAUCCUGGAUCAGCGCCUGGACUUUUCUUUGGAAAAACAAACAAAGAGAAUGGAUAAAACUGAAAGAAAAUGGAAAACAUCCCUUCACUAUUCUGGUGGGAUUGACCCCAUCCCCAACUCCAAAGAUGGGCCCUAAUUUGUUUAUCCAAAUAAUACACAUACACACACACACACACACACACACACACACACACACACACACACACACAGCCCACCUUCUGUGGAGGCCUCAGUCGCUAUGACAAGAUCCAGUGUUGUUUUCUCCAUAGUAAUGAUGACUUUCCUUGUUUUUUGGUUUGUUUGUUUACUAGAAAAAUUAAUUCCCUGGAACUGAGGACUUUGGUGUCUUUUUCACUCCUAUGCCCAGCACCUAGCACAAUGGCACAGCAUCUGACACAUAGUAAAUAAUCAAUAUUGCUAUUGCAGUAGCUUCCUAACUGGUCAAAUUACUUCUGAUCCCGCCCCGCCCUCUCAGUGCAGCCCCACCCUCUGCACCUCUGUACCUGUGCAGCAGCUUCCUCUGGCCAGCAUGGUGUCCACAGCCCAGAACCUGGCACUAGGAGAUUCCUGGAGAAAGUGAGCCUUCUUGUCUGACUGUCCAGAGAGUGAGAGAAAGUGUGAUGGGUACCAAGUCCACAGGAAGAAGUAAGUUCUUGGAUAGAUCCAGUGCAAGGUCAGUUUGCCUUAGCAGAGCACCAGAGUUCAGCAAAAGAAUGAACAUGUUCUAAUGUCAAGAUCACUCACUUUGGGAGAAGCCAACCACCAUGCCAGUAGAUACUCGAGAUGCCCAACAAAAGUGACCACAUGGUGAGAAACUAAGGCCCCUUACCCAUAACCAGCACUAAUUCGCCAUGUAAGUCACCUUGGAAUUGGAUCCUCCAGCCUUGGUCUAGUCCUCAGAUGACUGCAACCACACACAGCUACCACGUUGACUGCAAUCUCAAAAAAAGACCCUGAGCCAGAAUCACCAUCUAAGCCCCUCCCAUAUUCCAGCCCCACAGAGUUAUGUGAGAUAAUAAAUGUUUAUUAUUUUGAACCACUAAGAU